rnacentral:tRNA from 1 species
GCAGGCUUAGCGUCUGAUAUUCGACGAAUUCACAAGCCACCCCCACUCAAGCUCCCAUAAUCAGGCGCGCCGCUAAGAACGGCGUGUGGGUGCUAAACCAUCUACCAAGGGUUCGAAUCCCUUACCCUCGCC